rnacentral:ncRNA from 2 species
AAAUAUUUUGGCGAUGGAGUUCGCCAUAAACCGCAUAAGCUAAUGACUCCUACUAAUUU